UACAGAGGGGGCAAGCGUUGUUCGGAAUUACUGGGCGUAAAGGGCGCGUAGGCGGCCUGCUAAGUCGAACGUGAAAUCCCCGGGCUCAACCCGGGAACUGCGUCCGAUACUGGCAGGCUUGAAUCCGGGAGAGGGAUGUGGAAUUCCAGGUGUAGCGGUGAAAUGCGUAGAUACUGGGAGGAACACCGGUGGCGAAGGCGGCUACCUGGACAGGUACUGACGCUGAUGCGCGAAAGCUAGGGGAGCAAACAGG
rnacentral:rRNA from 1 species